GUAAAAAAUUUCAAAAAUUAUAAAUCCAUCGAACUUUAAAUUAAUAAUAUAAAGGUACACAAUUAGGAUAAAUUUCGGUUUAAAGUAACGCAUCAUUUAUUUGUAUUGAUACAUAACGAUAACCAAUAAUUCAUCAGCAAUAUAUAUAUAUAUAUAUAUAUAUAUAGAGAGAGAGAGAAUGAGAGAGAGUGUUCAGUAAUUUAGGAAUCGGGUUUCUAUUGUCAUUAUUGUGUAUAACAAUUAACCCGAUACCUUACUCACUAAACAUUCUGUAUAAUGAAAUCAGUUUAUUUUCUGUUAAAUAAUAAUAAUAAUAAUAAUAAAUUAUGGUUUUAAAUGACUACGUGCCAAGAAUUUUUUUUUAGCUUCAAUCUUUAAAACUAAAUUUCUUAGAUCUCAUUACAUUAUUUUUUAUUGUAGUACAAAUCCUUAAUAAAUAUAAUUAUGCUCUGUAUGGCUUAUGUUACAAUUUCAAAUGUAAUCGCAACUUCAUAUCAAAAUUAAUUCGUGAUCCGCGGUGACCUCUGCCGGCCGUUAUACCUCUGUAGUUUUUCGAUAUAAACUACAUAUUACUCUAUACCUAUUUCGUAUAUCUUUUAUUGAAAUAAUCUUACUCUUGUUAAAAAACCUAUGCAAAUAAAAUAAACGAUAUAUUUAUUCAUAAAAAUUUAAGAAAGCAUCGAUCUUAAAUGGAUAUAAUAAGUUCAGAGAAGUCAAUAUCAACAUAGCAAGUCCUUUUAGAUAAUUAACAGGCGAACUUUUAAGUAGAUUAUUAAGGAUUAUUAAAUACGUAUUAAGGAUAUUUAAACUGAAACUUACUAGCGAUACAGUUUUCAAAAAAAUAAGGAAGAGCAAUCUCCGUCAUCUAAUGAUCCUGAGCGUUUUUCCUAUAAAAAUUCAAGUUUAUAAAUUUUCAAUAAAUUUAAAAAUCUUUUGUUUAUAAUUAUAUUUCAAAUAUUUAUUUAUUUUCUUAAGCUGACUAAAAAUAAUUGUUAUUUAAUUAUUUUAGUUUUUACCACAAAGUAAAUCAAUUUAUGAUAUAAUUGUACUUUUUUUAUAAACAUAAAACAAAACUUCGUUUAUUUAAAUAUUUAUAAUUUUAUCUGAACAAUAAAUAAAUUUACAAUUUAACUGAAUUAAAAUUCCCGGGGUGCUUUAAAUAGAUGUAAUUUCAACAGUGUUUUUGAAAAUAUAUCAAAAACUAAGUAUAUAUAUCACUUAAACUAAGUAAUCCCUAAGUACGUUAAAAAUAAUAGGACUACUGAACCACAAUUAACAUAAAAUAGUUAUGUAAAUCAAAAUCAAUUAAUCUUAUGUUUAAAAAUUAAAGUGACAUGAUACACGCCUUUUUAAAUUUCAAGGAUCAUUUCAAUCCCAUUGGAAUUCACGCACAUCUAUUAAAAAGAGGUCGCUAAGGGUGUUAACUUUCUAUACUGUAUUUUAAUGGGUUUUAAAGUAAAUUAGGUGCAGUAUGGGUGCACAUGUUGUUUAGACUUCAAAUACAAUGCAAGGGUUUGUUUAUCCAUGUCUUAACUGAUGAAAAUCGUAUAAAAAUGUAUUAUAUUAUCAAAUAAAUUACUUUAUAUUAAUACAAAAAACAGAAUAGUUCUCUUAAUAUGAUCUAUUCAACUAUUCAUAAGGAGUAUAUUAGUGUAAAUUCCCGUAAGUUAUUAAAACAUUUUGCGUCCGAAAUGUUAUAUUUCACAUCCAUUUCAUGCUCUUCGGUAGAUUUUUUAAAUAUGUCCAAAAAAAUGGAAUUAGGAUAAGAAUACCCGUUAUAGCCACCUUAAUAGCUAUUAUAGCCACUUGUUAUUUAGUUAUUAGAUCAUAAACCAUACCACUUAUUAUUAGAACAAAUUAAUUUUGAUAAUCACAAUUAUAGGUUUUAGAGCACAUUAGUUCAAACAUUUUUUAAAAGUAUUUCUAAAACAAAUACACUUAAUUUAUGGUUAAAAGUGUUAUAGUGACCAAAAUCAGUGCAUUUAUUCUAUUUUUCUUUUGUAAGAAGUGAAAAAGAUUUUUAUUAUAUUAAUAACUCCCUUACUUUUCAUAUAAUACAUAAUAAAUUUGAAUUAUAAUAAUUAAUUAUAAUUUUUAUAUUAAUAAGAUAUCAAGUUAAAGAUUUAAAUCAAUUUUUACUUAGAUUAUAAAAAUAUUUAAUUAAUUACUAUUUAGAUAUUAGAUUUGUAUUGAGAACAUUGGUUUUUAGUGGCGUUAUUUCAGAUUAUACUAGACUGCGCUAAAAUUUUUAUCAGCUCAUCAUUAAAGAAAGUCAUCAACUCCUAUUGAAUCUAUUUUGCUCAACAAUAUGUUAAAAGAUCACAAAUCAUAUGUAGUUGAAGUUUUAAAAAAAUAGUUUUAAAAAAAUCCCCUUAACUUUCAUAAUAAAGGAAAAUGUCCCGAAAAAUUACAAUUAAUAUUAAAUAGACGGAUCAUUGCAAAAAUUUUAUUGAAAAUACUGUUUGGCCAAAAUGUUCUUCCCAAUUUUAAACGCGUCUAAAUAAUGGCUGUUCAAGAUAAGAGAACCAAAUAAAAACCAAAAUAAAAUGGAAACUAUACUAUUUGACAUAGCUCCUCUGACGUUUGCCAUAAAGCUUUACAUUGGAUUAAUAUUUUCUGGAUUAAGUUAAAUUUUGUGAAACACAGAGUUUAUUGGGCCACCACGUAGUCCAAAUUAAACACCUUCUGAAUUUUUUUUUGUGAGGACAUUGAAGAAUCAUGUAUAUAAACUUAUGGACAUGAAGGCUUUCAUAAAAUCGACUAUUAGAAGAGAGAUAGCGCCAAUUACCAAAACAACUCUAAAAAGUUAUUGCAAAAAUCCAAAAAAGAUUAAUCGAAUGUAAAAAGUUUCAUUGUAAAUAUCUGUCAGGAGUUUUGUUCAAAAAACAAACUAUUUAUUAAAUGGAAAAGAUUCUACUUUAUAUUUAUUAUUUGGUCAUUCUAUCUCGAACAAUUAAUAUUUACAACGCGUUUGAAAGUGAGGAGUUCAUUUACCCGCGAUCUGUACUCGAAUCAUUGACCUUGCUAACAAAAUAUAUAUAUAUAUAUAUUUUUUUUUGAAAAUCCAAUCAUUAAUUAAAGUACUGAUUUAUAUAUCAAAAUUUAUUUAUUUUCAAUAAAGCGUUUCACGGUAGUGACUAUCACUAUCACAUUUAAAUAAAAAAUAAUUUAAAAAAAAAACUUUAACUCAAUAUUACUGGAUCCCAACUUGACUUAACAUUUUUUUAUACUUAUGAUUAAUUUUAAGUUUUA